GAAUUAUCCAAGACAAAGAUUUAUUUUACUUAGAUGAUACUAAGAAAUGAAAUAUGCAAAUGGACCAACAAAAUCAAGAAAUUUAUAUUAAGGAUUGUCAGUCAUGAAAGAUUUUUGAAGACACUGCCCUCAUUAUACUUACACUUGGAAAAAACCAGAUGCAGUUUAAUUCUAUCAAAAGAAUUGAAAAAAAGAAUGCAUCCUUGUUAUUAUAAAUUAAGAAAUCAAAUUGRAAACUCAUUCUAAUCUGUAGUUUUUAACAUGUACUAAAAUUUAUUACUUUACAUCUUUUUGGAAAUUUGAAAACCUURCUGUGUAUCAAUUAGUAAUAAGUUAUGCAAAAAACACUAUUGUUUAUAAUUAAGAAAUUGUCUUGUCUGAAAAUUGCUUAUGUUUAUGAAGUAUAUAAUGAAGGAAGUAAAUAAAAAUUAAUAUUAUAUCA